CUUGGCAACCCGGUAAACAUUGGAAGAAAUCCUGUAAACCAGGGAGCUGUUUGUGGCAUCUGGCAAGCUUCCUAAGGAGAAUCGUUGGUCCAGAAGUUAAUCCAAGGCGUUUCUGUGUUCUUAUCACAUGGUGUCACUUCACAAUCAGAUGGUAACAAUCGGCAUGUUCUUCCUGCCCUUCUACCUGCCAACAGUGCUUCUCAGACCUCACUGUGCAAGAGAGCCAGUCACCUGGGGAUCCUGUAAAAUGCAGAUCUACUUCGGUAGAUCCCAGGUAGGGCCAAGAUUCUGCCUGUGCUGCUGGCUCGGGGAACAGCCCGGAUCCUUGACCAUGUCCAAACCCUAAAGGGUAUCAUGGUCUAAUGCUAACAGAGCCUUCUGUUCCCAAGACGUUGAACAUCUUUAGGUGACAUUAUUGCCAUUCUCCCCAGCAGGAUUCCCCACCCCCCACUCCAAGAUGGAAAGGCACUGGAUAGGGACAUCCCGUGAGUCCUCACCAUGAGAAGGCCACUGCAGCCUGCCUUUUUUAUCCUGAACCUCUCUUCGUCUUCUGGGCAUGGGCUGUGUGUCCCCAACUCUCUACAGGCUAGUGAGGAUGCACUCACCCCUUCCUCUUCCUGUGAACUGUACUCUUUCUCGAAGUGAGGAAGGAGUCCCGAGCUGUCUGUCACCGGAGUCUUUUCAUGGGACCCAUGAGCCCUCUUCCUAAGUCUUCAUUCCACAGUGUUUUAUGAAGCCCUCUUGUCUUCAUUCUCCAAUGUGCAGAGCAAGAGCAAGAGCAAGGGUUCAGCAAGUUCAGAGGCACAAGAAGGAUUUCAGCAGUGGUGGCGAGAGGGAAGAUGCUAGAAGCUUUGUGAGCAAAGGUUUCAAGGUUUAAGAGUUCUUCAACACUGACUCGAAGGAAGAAUUGAGAAAGGAUGUUCCCCGGGGAGGGCCCAGCAUGGCAUCUCCCUGCUGCUGGUUCAGAAUCACCAGUUGCAGACAUGGGUUUCCGACUAGCUGAAGAAAUUAAGGCAGAGUGACAGAGCUGCUCCCGCCUCCUCUUGCUCCCCUCGGUUGCUCCAGCGGAAAUAGAUUAAAUCUUCAGUUGCUUAUUGUAUUUCCAUGGAAUUUUCACAUAAAUUAGCAAAUCAGCAUCAUUAUUUGAAAAUCUUAGGAAACAUGAUUCAGGGUUUGUCAUUAUUUUUUCCAAGGAAGAAACUACUGUGGAUAUUUUCUGCAAGGAUACCUGGUGACUUUCCCAGUCAGAAGCCGGCCAGCAGACCUGCAUGCGACCAUCUAAGAGGAAACUGGGUUCUGCCGUAAGAGUAAACAUAGUUACUUCUGGCAUACUUUCUGUUCAUGAUGUUUUCUCUUGGUGUAGUUAAAAAAAAAAAAAAAAGCCUCAUUCCUGAUGGUUGCCAAAGAUGUGGCCUUUGGAAAGGGGAGUUUAAUCGUUGUCCUAGAGUUGCUUGCCUUACUUUAUCAACAUCAGUGCUGGUUUGUGGCUUUGGGUAUGUGAAUGAGCUGUUGUGGCUUGGUUUGGGAUGAUGGCAGGAUGUGAAUUUCGUCAGAUGGGUGAUGAGGCCUGGUGCACCCCACAACCCUCUGAAGCUGGCGCUGGGCCUAAGUGGGAGGACUGGAGCCUCCACUGCAUUUCUGUCUGGUUGUUUUCUUCCAGAGAUUUUUCCUUGAAAACCUUAAACUACAGAUAGGAAGCAGUGUUUCUGUGAGCCCUGGCCUAAGAAGACGUGUGGUUCAAGAUGGACACCUUUUAUACUGUGACCUCUUCAGCUGGAGAGUGUUUUAGUUUAUUGGGGUGCGGCGACACACACCGCAGACUUUGUGUUAACCAACAAAAACUUAUUUCCUUCUAUGCCUGGUGCCUGGAAGUUCAGGAUCAGGGUCCAGGCAGGUUGGUUUCUUCUGAGCCUUCUUUCUUGUAGAUGACACCGUAUUGUGUCUUCACAUGGUCUCUCCUCUGAUGUCAUUUUGUAUGUCCAAAUCUUCUCUUCUUGUAAUGCUACCAGGCAGAUUGAUUAGGGUUCACCACAAUGGCCUUAUUUCAUCACCUUUUAAAGGUGAAGACUCCAUCACUUUCUGAGGUACUGGGUUUAGAACUUCAACAUAGACAUUUUGGAAGUGAUACCAUUCAGUCCAAAACAGGGUUCAUAGAGACCACCUUGAAAUUGCAAAACUGUUUCUCAGACUUGGCUUAUGGUUCUUCCUUUUCCUUGUAAGUGUGGUUCUGCCUUCAUCUAGUGGGCAAAGGGCAGUUCUGGAAUUUCAUCAUGGAGGUUAGAAGUGGAAUGGUGACAUAAUUCUUUAAACCAUAUUCUAGGCCAUUGGAAGAGGCCUAGAAGAUUUCCUGCAAAAUACAUCCAGGAAGUUAUGUGAAGAAUAGAGGGGACUUGCCUCUUAGAAGUCUGGGAUGUGCUCUUGCAUCCUCAUGACUGCCCCAGACCUGCCACCACCAGCAGGAACAUCAGGGGCUGGGGACCUGGAGGGCCUCAGCAAAACAACUGGGUCUGUGCUCAGUAGAUCCUGAGGUCCAGUGGGUGGUGAAGUGUGCCAGGUGGCACCAUUGGCUCCUGUAGGAGCCCGGCACAAUCAUCUCUGAGCCACAGCAGCUGGCUUAGUCAAUGCCUGGCCCUUAGUAGAUAUUCCGUGAGUAACCAAGAGUGGAUGACCAAGCGAAUGCAUCGACGACUUGGCAAACCACUCCCCACCUCCUGCACUCAGAAAUUUUUCAGAAGAAUGUCAGCUAUUGGGGAACCUCCUCUUAGUUGUCUUGAUUGUUUUCUGUCAUUGUGUCCCCCUAAGACAUUCGCUGUGGACUCCUCCAGUAGAGUUCAGCCCUGCAUACAUUGGCUUCAAGGCAGGUGUUGGACAUCCUGUUUGAACCUGGACUGGAGGGUCACUGGUGCCACACGACUGAGAGACAAUAGCAGUGUUCUGAAUUCCCCUCCAUAAUUUGCCAUUCGGGAAUCUUGGGUACACACCACUAAUACAGAUUUUGAAGAACCACAGUGAGUCAUCUGGUAGAUGCAUUUUCAAACUCCAGGGCACACUAGAUUAUCACCUAAACCACCACAUUAAAAAAUGAACAUUACUAUAAAAGAAAUAAAAAUAAUAUUAUAUAGUCACAGCUUAAGUUCUAGAUGAUGCUGUUGAGGUUUUUGAACACCAGCUGCCACAACUGUGGCUGCUGCUGACGCUCCUUUCUCCCCGUGCCAUUGAGGGUCACCGGGGGCAUGAGUCAGAACAGGUCAGCACCCAGGCCAGGCGUGCGGAGGCACAGCACCUAGUCCUUGGCCAAGGACUGCCUUGCUUUCAUCAUAGAGGAUGGAGAUAAUGAAGAGCAUGAGUAACAGGUGAAAAAUGAAGAACCUCAGACGUGGUCUUUGGUCAUACCCCAGCACCUGGCAAUCAAAAUCUGAUUUGGAUUCCAAGCCCUUGUUCCUUCCCUGGUGUUUGACCACAACAGGCCAGUUCAGCAACUGCAGUUCAGCAAAAUCAUCAAACCUACACAAAAUAAGAAGCAAGCACGUAAAUUAAGCCCAAGGAAGAAAAGCAAGCGUUGCUUCCCAGGGGCUGGCGUAGUCCUCCGCUGGAAUCUGCAGUGUGAACUUAGAAGAAGAGCGUUUUCCUUCCGUGGUGCUGAGAGAGCAUUCUUCGGCCAGCAUGUUUUAAAGAUUAGUAGAUUUACUGGUAGGUGUAGAUUCAAUGACACUUUUUGAAUUUUCAUGAGUAAUGUUUUUUAAUUAAAACAAUGAUUAUGAUGGUAAGCAAUUUAUCAAUUUUAUCUCAAAACAAAGACAAAGAUUUUAAAAGUGCUAUAACAGUAUGUACAUUAUAUCUCAAUAAAGCUGUUUUAAAAGUACUAUGCUUUUAUUUCAAAAUGUUUAAUAUUGCAGAGAAUUUUGUCUGCCUUAACUUUGUUAUUAUGUUAACCCUUUGAAAAUGUCCAAUUUCCCAGUUGAAGAGAACAUAAAUGAGCUUUCGCAGAAAUCAUAGUCAUGCCGUUUUAAAAGGAGAUCUGUUCUGAUGAUUGAUAUGUUAAUUUCAAAAUUCAUAUUCAUUCAGCUUAUAUCCAGCCAUGCAAAACAAAUUUUGUAUGUAGCUUUGAAAGCAAAAAUGUACUGUCAUUAAAAUAUAUUGACUGUCUUUAAAAAAAAAAAGAUGAGCUAAACACACAAAUAUUCAGGGACACACAAUGUGUAUGGACAGAUGGGAAAUUAAAACAGCUGUGAGAUAAGAGGAUAAAAGUAAAGCAGUUGGAUAAGGAAAAG
rnacentral:lncRNA from 1 species